UCCUUUUCUUUUCCCCCUUUUCUUCUUCUCCCCAUUCUUCCUUUUUCUUCUCCUCCUCUUUCUCUUCUCCAGCGGCGACGAACGACAGAGCUCUCCUGUUCUUCUUCUCCAAUCUUGCAACCCCCUUCUCUUCUUCUUUUCUCUUUUGCAACGGCAACAAGCUUCCCCUUCCUUGCUGUCCUGCUUCUCGGCAGCAUCGUCGGAGCUCCUCGAAGUGUGCUAGAGCUCGCCGGACCACCAGAAAAGAGGGGAAAACAAAGCCCUAGUUGCUGCCCUCUUUUCUAGCCAAGCACAGUAGCCACCGGAGCUAGCUGUGGCCUUCGCCGGAGCUCGCCAAGACAACCGGUGAAAAAGGGAAAAGCACCGCCGGAGUUCGCCUGAGCUCGUCGAAACUAGCUGAGACAAUCAGUGACAAAGGGAAAACAACCCUAGUUGUUGCCCUCUUUUUCCAGCAACUACAGUAAUCCAUAGAAGACACGAGCUCGAGUGGAGCACGGUGACCUGCCGACACUCAAAGAUUUUAUUGUACAUAAAUUUUGCAGACAUAGGGAUCCUUUUGAUAUUGUAGUUGAUUUUGGACUUCUAUAGAGUUACUCAGAGAUCUCGACGUGCUGAUUUUCUGGCAAUGCCAUGAGCCCGUGGUCGCGGUUGGGGCAGUAGCCGUGCUCGUAGUCGCAGCUGUGGUUGCGAUAGUGGUAGUGGCUGAGGUCGCGGUAGUGCAUGUCGGCGUGCCACUACUACUCAGAGGAUCGAUCAUAAUUUGGAUGAGGCCCCUAUCUCCCCAUAUGAGUUGAUACCGGGAGCUCAGGUUGAUCCUAGUAUUAGAGUCGGUGGUUAGACUGAGGGACACAUCUUGUUGCAGGAUCAUGUAGUCGUACCAGUCAUUCCUACAGCAUCCAUUAUCAUGGAAAAGGCUCGUAUUCCUUUGCUUGCUAGUUCAGCAAAGGAUCGUUUUGCGCUAUUCCAUGGAGGCACUGAUCCUUGGGUGGCACGUGUAUGGUUGAAGGAUAUUGAGGGCACUUUUGGGUGCAUGUCUUGUUCAGACACAGAGAAGAUAGAGCUUGCCGCUUAUCAAUUUCGAGGGCAAGCAUCCACAUGGUGGAAGAUGCAAAAGAUAGUCUUUGGGGUCAAUUUAUCUCUUAGCAGUCUUUUCAAGAGGCGUUCGAGAGAUAGUAUUUUCUUGCAGUCUUUUGUAUUGCUCGACGCCAAGAAUUCAUGAGUCUCAAGCAAGGUGAUCGAAGUAUGCUAGAUUAUAGUGCAGAAUUUAACAGACUUGCUGAGUUUUGCCCAUAUAUGGUAGCUCAGGACUCAGAUCGUAUGUUUCACUUUACAUAGGGACUGACAACAUAUAUUCAAAUCAGGAUGUCUAGAUUUCCUGUUACUACUUAUCGGAAGGCACUUGAUCGAGCCAUAUUUAUUGAGAUGACUCAGCAGCAAGUCUCCCAAGAAAGAGAAGUCAACCGACAGACCUUGCAGAGCUCACACUCUAGACAGCAAAGUCGAGGUCGUCGACCCCGUGGCCAAGAUACGACUAGAGAGUCUUCACGAUCACAAAAGGUUGCCAAAGUAUCGCAGGGAUCUAGUCGCCCAGUCCCAUCACAGCGGGGCCAGAUAUCUGUGAAGUAUUUUCAAUGUGGUGCACCAAAUCACCUAGCAUCAGAAUGUCCACUAGAUAAGAGUAUAUGUUUCUAUUGUAAACUGCCAGGACAUAUGCAGAAAGAUUGCACUUUGAAGGCACAACAUCAAGCAAGAGGAUCACAGUCUCAGCAGGCUCGACCUACCCCACGACCUCCAUAGUCUCGGCAGCAAAAAGGCCCACAGAGAUCUCAGCAGCCUCAGCAACGAAGUCACCCACCUGCACAGUCUGCUCAACGGCCACAACUUUACCAUUUGUAGUCCCAAGUGGAGAAUGAGUAUCAUUCAGUACCUCCACUUCAACAGUAUUUGUCAGCUCCAACUCAGUAGUAUUUGCCAGCUCCAUCUCAGCAGUAUUUGGUAGCUCCACCCCAGCAGUAUCUGCUACCUCCACCCCAGCAAUGUUAGCCACCAUUAUCUUAUCAGCCUUCGACCUAGUCAUACCAGCCUUCGCAGGAUCAGAGUCAACCAUCUUCUUCUAUCCAGAGGGGUCAACCAUCGGGUCUUGAGCCGGGACACGUAUAUGCUUUGACUCGUGAGGAGGCACAGCGAACUGAAGGAUUUGUCAUCCGAGGUAUUAUUUCAGUUUAUAGUAUUCCUGCGGAUAUAUUGAUAGAUACGGGUAGCUCGCAUUCCUUUAUUUCUCCUGAGUUCGUAUGCAAGAUUGGGAGGGUCCCAACUCUUCGACCUUAUGGAUUAUCAGUAUUGACACCAUCAGGUGGAGUAUUGAUGUCAGAUCAGGAGGUCAAGAGUUGUCCUUUAAAUUUCAAUAGUCAUAUCCUUACAAUAGAUUUACAAGUGAUAGAGAUGACUGAAUUCGAUAUUAUUUUGGGUAUGGAUUGGCUGUCAGAGCAUCAUGUCACUGUCGAUUAUGUAGCCAAAGUGGUAACUUUUCAAUCCUUGGAUCAAUCAUCAUGGGAAUUUAUUGGGAUCAAUGAUCGAGGGGUAUCUAUUAUCUUAGCUCUCCAGGCUUAGCAGUUGUUGGCUCGGGGAUGCAAGGGAUAUCUCUUGUCUUUAGUGAGUUCCAAUGUGGAUAGUUCUGUUCGAUUUUCUGAUGUCCACAUAAUUCAUGAAUAUCCUGACGUAUUUCCUAAAGAACUUCCUGGCUUGCCACCUCGGCGACAGGUAGAGUUUGCCAUUGAGUUGCUUCCUAGCACAGCUUCAAUAUCGAAAGCUCCAUAUCGGAUGACACCAAGAGAACUGGAGGAACUAAAGAUCCAGCUUUAGGAGUUACUAGACAAGGGUUUAAUCCAUCCUAGUGUUUCUCCUUGGGGUGCUCCGAUGCUCUUUGUUAAGAAGAAAGAUGGAUCCUUAAGGCUCUGCAUUGAUUAUAGGCAGUUAAACUCUGUAACUAUCAAGAACAAGUAUCCUCUACCUAGAAUAGAUGAUUUGUUUGAUCAGCUUAAAGGUACAUGUGUGUACUCCAGGAUUGAUUUAAGAUCAGGCUAUUACCAGGUACGAGUUAGAUAUACAAAUAUUCAGAAGACUGCAUUCUGUAGUCAGUAUGGACAUUAUGAGUUCUUGGUAAUGCCAUUUGGGCUUACCAAUGCUCCUACAACUUUUAUGGAUCUGAUGAACAUGGUAUUCUUGGAAUAUUUAGACCGAUUUGUUAUUGUCUCUAUUGAUGACAUUCCGGAAUAUUCCCGGUCAGAGGAGGAGCAUGAACAAUAUCUCAAAAUGGUUCUAGAAACUUUACGGAAGGAACGCUUAUAUGCGAAGUUCAGUAAAUGUGCUUUUUGGCUUAGUUCUGUGGGAUUUCUAGGGCAUAUAAUCUCUAGCAAAGGGAUUUUAGUAGACCCCCAGAAGAUUGAAGCAGUUGACCGAUGGGAACAACCAAAGUUAGUACAAAGAUAUUUGCAGCUUCCUUGGAUUAGCCAGGCUAUCGGAGAUUUGUUGAGGGUUUUUCUGGUAUUGUUGCACCUUUGACCCAGUUGACUAGAAAAGGGGUCAAGUUUACUUGGUCCAAGGCUUGUGAAGCAAGCUUCUAAGAGCUCAAGAAGAGAUUGGUGAGUGCUCCAGUGUUAGUUAUUCCCUCUGGAGAUGAUGGAUUCAUUCUUUACACGGAUGUUUCUAUUCAAGGAUUAGGGGCAAUUUUGAUGCAACAUUAUAGAGUAGUAGCUUAUGCUUCUCGUCAGCUGAAAGAUCAUGAGAAGAAUUAUCCCGUACAUGAUUUAGAAUUAGCAACCAUUAUUUUUGCCCUUAAGAUUUGGAGACAUUAUCUCUACGGUAUUACCUUUGAGAUAUUCACCGAUCACAAGAGUCUGAAAUAUCUUUUCACGCAGAAAGAGUUAAACCUUUGACAGAUAAGGUGGAUGGAGUUCCUAAAAGACUAUAACUGCACUAUCAACUACCACCCUGGAAAGGCUAAUAUAGUAGCUGAUGCAUUGAGUAGGAAGUCUAGAGGAGUAUUGGUAAUUCACAGGGUGGCAGUUACUGAUCUAGUCAGACAGUUUUCAGAAUUAGAUUUAAUUGAAAUAGGGCAAACACAGUGUGGUAUAAUGGUCUCCUUGAUCGCACAAUCCCCAUUGGUUGAGCGGAUCAAAGAAAGCCAAAUGGAAGAUCAAUAUCUCAAAUCGAUAGCUAGUGAGUUGGAGUUCGUCCUCAAGUCAGAAUUCUCACGUGAUAUGGAUGGAUCUCUUCGGUUCCGAGGCAGAUUGUGUGUUCCUGAGGUACAUCCUGUUAAGGAGGAUCUCCUUCGAGAGGCCCACUGAUCGAGAUUUACAUCUUGGUAGUACACGGAUGUAUCGAGACUUGAAGCGAUUAUAUUGGUGGAAAGGUAUGAAAAGAGAUAUUGCAGAUUUUGUAGCUCGGUGUCUAGUUUGCUAGCAAAUUAAGGCAGAACACCAGAGACCAUUCGUGUUACUUCAGAAGAUUGCAGUGCCAGAAUAAAAAUGGGAGCAAAUUUUCCUUGCCCCUUCACUAUCCUAGCAACCUUCUUUGUUUUCAACCUUCCCUAACUAUCAUAGUUACCUUUCGUUUUCUCCGACAGCAGCCCUAACUGCUGUCCUUUUCUUGGCAGCAUCGCCGGAGCUCGCCGAAGCUAGCUGAGGCGGCCAACGACAAAGGGAAAACAACCCUAGUUGUUGCCCUCUUUUUCCAGCAACUACAGUAAUCCAUAGAAGACACGAGCUCGAGUGGAGCACGGUGACCUGCCGACACUCGAAGAUUUUGCUGUACAUAAAUUUUGCAGACACAGAGAUCCUUUUGAUAUUGUAGUUGAUUUUGGACUUCCAUAGAGUUGCUCAGAGAUCUCGACGUGUUGAUUUUCUGGUUUGUUUUACUUUUUUUUUCGUUGUAUUUACAUUUUGUAAUUUUAUUUCAGAUGUCAUUUAUCUGUAUAGUAAUUAUAGUCUACGAAAACUAUGAUAUAUAUAUAUAUAUAUAUAUAUAUAUAUAUA